UACGAAGGGGGCUAGCGUUGUUCGGAAUCACUGGGCGUAAAGCGUGCGCAGGCGGUUUGGUAAGACAGAUGUGAAAUGCCCGGGCUUAACCUGGGAACUGCAUUUGUGACUGCAUGGCUAGAGUUUGGCAGAGGGGGGUAGAAUUCCACGUGUAGCAGUGAAAUGCGUAGAUAUGUGGAGGAACACCGAUGGCGAAGGCAGCCCCCUGGGUCAAGACUGACGCUCAUGCACGAAAGCGUGGGGAGCAAACAGG
rnacentral:rRNA from 1 species